CCUACGGGAGGCAGCAGUGAGGAAUAUUGGUCAAUGGACGAGAGUCUGAACCAGCCAAGUAGCGUGAAGGAUGACUGCCCUAUGGGUUGUAAACUUCUUUUAUAAGGGAAUAAAACGAGGCACGUGUGCCUUUUUGCAUGUACUUUAUGAAUAAGGAUCGGCUAACUACGUGCCAGCAGCCGCGGUAAUACGGAGGAUCCGAGCGUUAUCCGGAUUUAUUGGGUUUAAAGGGAGCGUAGAUGGGUUGUUAAGUCAGUUGUGAAAGGUUGCGGCUCAACCGUAAAAGUGCAAUUGAUACUGGCAGUCUUGAGUACAGUUGAGGUAGGCGGAAUGCGUGGUGUAGCGGUGAAAUGCGUAGAUAGCACGAAGAACCCCGAUUGCGAAGGCAGCUUACUAAACUGUGACUGACAUUGAGGCUCGAAAGUGUGGGUAUCAAACAGGAUUAGAUACCCGAGUAGUC
rnacentral:rRNA from 1 species